rnacentral:rRNA from 1 species
UACGAAGGGGGCUAGCGUUGUUCGGAUUUACUGGGCGUAAAGCGCACGUAGGCGGACCGUUAAGUGAGGGGUGAAAUCCCAGGGCUCAACCCUGGAACUGCCUUUCAUACUGGCGAUCUCGAGUCCGGAAGAGGUGAGUGGAACUCCUAGUGUAGAGGUGGAAUUCGUAGAUAUUAGGAAGAACACCAGUGGCGAAGGCGGCUCACUGGUCCGGUACUGACGCUGAGGUGCGAAAGCGUGGGAGCAAACAGG